rnacentral:rRNA from 1 species
CCUACGGGAGGCAGCAGUGAGGAAUAUUGGUCAAUGGCCGGAAGGCUGAACCAGCCAAGCCGCGUGAAGGACGACGGUGCCAAGCAUUGUAAACUUCUUUUGUCAGGGGACAAAAUCAGCCACGCGUGCCUGUCCGAGGGUACUUGAAGAAAAAGCAUCGGCUAACUCCGUGCCAGCAGCCGCGGUAAUACGGGGGAUGCGAGCGUUAUCCGGAUUUAUUGGGUUUAAAGGGUGCGCAGGGGGAAGGUUAAGUCAGCGGUAAAAGUGCGGGGCUCAACCUCGGCGAGCCGUUGAAACUGGCUGUCUUGAGAGGGCGAGAGGUAUGCGGAAUGCGCAGUGUAGCGGUGAAAUGCUUAGAUAUCGCGCAGAACUCCGAUUGCGAAGGCAGCAUACCGGCGGCCAACUGACGCUGAUGCACGAAAGUGUGGGUAUCGAACAGGAUUAGAUACCCGAGUAGUC